AAAAAAAAAAAAAAAGAUGUGCACUGAAUUUUCAGUUUGGUGGACGCUGGUCCUUUUCAUUGUCCUUUUAACAGCUUGAUACCCAGGCCUUAUGGAAAUGAUCUCAGCACUCUGUGAAAGGUGAGCAACUCUCAGCCAACCCCAGGUGAGUAUGAAGAAUUCUCCCAAAGCCCACAGUAGCAAAUGGUCAGAUUGAUCUUCAGUCAAAGGAAAGAUCAAACUGCUUGAACAAGCUUACUGCCAUAGAUGCUACAUACAAUUCUCCUAAGAGUCCUGGAAUUCUGGAAAGUCAGUGAGCUCACAUCAUCUUAGAGUUCUCUUUGGCCUUUAGUAACAGAACAAUCAAUUCCGUUAGGAUUACACCUAAGAAAAUAUGGGUGAAAUAGUGACAUAAUGCUGUAAAAUUAAGAGGCAAAAUCCACAAUGUUCUGAAGGAGUGUCUUUCUGCUUCCUGUUUAGUUUUGCUCACUAUUCUACCUCAGCCCUUGGCUUAGUGCUGUAAUAGAUAGUCAGGAAAUAUUCUUUGAACAUCAGCCUUCAAUGAACCCUGAGGUACAUUAAAGAUGCCUAAUCCUGUAAGAAGUUGCGAAUCAUUAUAUAUCUAAAUUUGUUAUCUACUUUGAAUUAUGAAGUCUAGUUUUUCUAUUUGCUCCAAAUCUUAAUCACCUUAGGUAAAACAGGCUACUUUUAGUUUGCAUUAUUUCUCAGUCUUUCCACUACCACCUGUGAUAACUCAAAACCAAUCCUUUGAUGCUGAUACUUUCUGAUACUCUCCUUUAAAUCUCCCUUGGUAGAAUGUUUAAAGGGAAUUCCAAAUUGGAUCCCUUCCAAGGUGAACCCAUGCUGAAUAUAUGAUGUUACACUUUAAAAUUUAGAGUUUCCCCUAGUUAAGAAGAUUUGUUCCUUGAACCUCAAAUUUUAGGAAGAAAAUGCUAGAUCGUAAUUCAUAAAGGAUUUGUUUUCCUUUUUGCAGGGAAUACAGUCCACUAGGUGGCAUCUCAACACACAGAAAGCUGGAUCUAUGCAUUGGUGAUGAAUCCAAUAUACUGUUUUAAAAAUAGGCUCUAAAUUGCCCUCAACUAUAUGGUUGUAAUACUAUUGAAACACUCAGCAUUUGUGAAGAAGAUUCUGUGGUGAAGGAACUAUGUUUCUGUAUUAGAUAAUAGAUGUUCUAAUAGAAUCCCGCUGCUUUUUCUGAUGGAGAACUAUUCUGAAAUUGCAUCCAAGGAUGGAAAAGUUGAUAUGGAAGCACUCUCAUCAGGCUCUUUGUGACAGCCUCAGCUGUUGAGGAACAAGCUGCAGCAGAGAGAAGAGAACAGAUUUUAUAUUUCGAGAAACCGAGAUAGCAAGUGGUAGAAAGCAUGGGAUUUUGAUUCUCACAAGCCUGUGUUUGAAUCCUAGCUCCUACCAAAUUCCUUAAGCCUGCAUGUUGAUUUUCUCAUCUGCAAAAUUGAGACAACUGCAUCAACCUCAUAUGAUUACUGGGAGCAUGAAAUGAGGUCAUAUACUUAAAAUAUUGAGCACAGUGUUUGGCAAUAGUUAGCUUUCAUAGUGUGAUUGUUCCCCAAGACAAAUUAACCAAGCACAGUAAGGGGAAAUGGGGCACCAGGCAUACCUAGCAGACCAUCGGUGGGUGUGCUGAAUGAACCACAUUUAUGCUGAUGUGAUGGCUGGGUUUUAUUGAUCUGGACACAUCCUUCCCUUGAGAAGAACAUCUGCUGGCUGAAACUCCUCACCUUGGUCCUGUCCACAUUUCUCCAUUUCCAUCCCCACCCUCUUUUAGUGAAGACCACUCAGGCUUCUCCCAUGUACUAAUCUGCAUAGCUUGUUUAGAGAUUUGAGCCUACAAAAGGAUUCUUAGGCAACAAAAGAGAGAAGUUACUUUGUCCACAUGCUCAAGAUGCCUGCUUUGUGGAUAUUAUCAAGACAGAUUGUGUAGCAAAUUGAAGAAGGCCGCCCAGAGUGUCAGAAUGUAUGUACAGUAAUUGAAAAGUAUUGCUUGCACACUUUCAGUAUCUGGACAAUCCCCCAGCAGACAAUGGCAUCAAGGGAUAUAAUGCACCAUAAAGGAUGGAUUCCAGCUGCAUCCAGGACAAAUGUCAUGCACAUGCCCUGAGGAGGGUAGGAAGGGCAUCCACUACACUAAUGGUUUCCAAGGGAGAUGAUACUCCUGUUUUUCAUGAGUCAGAGACAAGAAAGGGGCUUUGUCAAAAACACCCUCUGUGCUCACAUUUGGCUCAGUGUUUUAUGCUUCCUGAACGACCCACCUGAAGAUGUACUGCCUGCUCUUAUUUUGGUGUUUCCCGAGAGUGUCCAGGGUUUCCAUCAUUAACUAAUCCCUAAUCACUAUCCUCCAGUUUUGAAUCACUGAUUCCCCCAAUGUCUCCCACCUGGCUGGUGACUGCACUGUGUUUUCACAGCCACCAAAGGAAUGGUAAACUUUACCUCUCAGAAGACUGAGUGAAGGCUUUGUUUUGCCUUGUGAAUUUGCUCAUUUGGUGUCCUUGGCUUGGGCCUGUGUGGAUGGGACUUGAUUGGAUUUGAGAUUUGAGAUUGAUUUCCUAUGAACUCCACUGGGAGCCAGAAGAAGAAUGGAGUGACAGAGGGACUGCUGAUCUUUGACCCCAGCCCAUUGAUGGCUGUUGUCAUCACUGUUGGUGGCUGCUCUGAACAAGAAUGCAUUGUCUCUCCAUCUAUUGUGGACUUGCCUUCAAAGUCAAUCUUCACAGGAUGUACCCCUUUAAUCAGGGAAUGUGCCCUUCCACCUAGGCAAAGGAUGGAUGAGGAAAGCAGAUAAAAUAGUGAAAUGGAAGCUGCAUGUUGUUGGAUCCCUUGCUUAUCAUUAUGGAGGGAAAGGCCAGGUUUUAUCCCAGUCUGCCUGCUUCGAAUCUCAUCUUCUAGACAAGAGUUUGGUUAAAGGAAAUGAUGUCUGGCGCUAAAAUUUUGCUUAACAGAAUGAUUGGAGAGGGGACCUCUUUUGAGUGACCCUUGAAACGAGGGAGCAAACUAGACAGAGACACCUGGAGGAAGAGGGUCCCACACAGAGGGAGCAGCAAGAGCCGAUGCGCUGAGGUGGGAGGAUACCUGAUGAGCCUGAGGACCAGCAUGGAGGCCCAUGUGGCUGGAAAGAAGGAACAAGCGGGAGAGAGGUAAGCAAUGAGGUUAAUGGUGGGAAGUGGGACAGGGAACUGAUACUGGGAGGUCAUUAAGGCCGUUGUGAGAAUCUUGGCUUUUGCUAUGAGUGAGAUGGGAAGCCUUUGGAGGGGGUUGCUAUAACCUAACCUAUAAUCUUCUUUUAUAGCUUAAAAGAAGUAUUUUCAU